rnacentral:rRNA from 1 species
GAUGAACGCUAGCGGCAGGCCUAACACAUGCAAGUCGAGGGGUAGCAGGAUUAAGCUUGCUUAAUUGCUGACGACCGGCGCACGGGUGCGUAACGCGUAUGCAACCUACCUUAUACUGGGGUAUAGCCCGGAGAAAUUCGGAUUAAUCCCCCAUAGUACUAAUGAAUCGUAUGGUUUAUUAGUUAAAGCAUUGCGGUAUAAGAUGGGCAUGCGUCCUAUUAGCUAGAUGGUGAGGUAACGGCUCACCAUGGCUACGAUAGGUAGGGGGCCUGAGAGGGUGGUCCCCCACGCUGGUACUGCGGCACUGAGCAGACUCCUACGGUAGGCAGCAGUGAGGAAUAUUGGUCAAUGGGCGCAAGCCUGAACCAGCCAUGCCGCGUGCAGGAAGAAUGCCCUAUGAGUUGUAAACUGCUUUUAUUUGGGAAUAAACCUCUUUACGUGUAGAGAGCUGAAGGUACCAAAUGAAUAAGCACCGGCUAACUCCGUGCCAGCCGCCGCAGUAA